GAUAGGAGCUGGAAGCAAUCUGGAUUCUGCUUCUCCAAACCUGAGCAUAUGUAAAAGAAAGCCUUUGCCCAGCAGAAUUAGCAGAUGGUCUAAAUCCCCUUGGAGUACAUGGGCUCAGUUCAACACUGAUUUGGGAUUAUUCAUUCAAAGUCCUUGGUCUUCUGGAACUUUACUAAGGCUUUCCCUCAUCAGGCUGACGAUGGCUCACUUCACACAUAACCACUCAAGACUUCUGUGCAGCAUAAAAUAGAAGAUCAAAAGCAGGGUUGAAUCUUUUUUGAAAGAGUUUGGUAACACCAGGCAUUUGAACACUCAGUCACAUGCAGCAGAACCAGGCACAUGGAGAACAGCUGAUUCCACAAAACCAAGGGCUUGGGUAAGUGCCCGGCGCUGAAGCCACCUAAAGUGACUGCAAAUGCUGUGU